CUCUGCUGUGUCCGACAGCGCGCAAACAUUCGCCUUGUCCCUUAAUCGCGACCUUGGGAAGGCAGUGGAAUCCGGGCGUGCAGGUCCGCCUCGCAGCGGAAAGCCCGAAGGAGCCUACGGCCAUCCCACUUGAACCCUGGGUUCAAGGUCGUUUUGCGCGCAUCGUCAUGGCGGAGG
rnacentral:other from 2 species